GACGAACCUGACAAACGUUAUUCGGAAUUACUGGGCUUAAAGGGUGCGUAGGCGGCGCGACAAGUUGGGUGUGAAAUCCCUCGGCUCAACCGAGGAACUGCGCUCAAUACUGUCGUGCUCGAGGGAGACAGAGGUGAGCGGAACUUAGGGUGGAGCGGUGAAAUGCGUUGAUAUCCUAAGGAACACCGGUAGCGAAAGCGGCUCACUGGGUCUUUUCUGACGCUGAGGCUACGAAAGCUAGG
rnacentral:rRNA from 1 species